AGCUGAUUACUUAGGAUACUCAUUCUAGAGUAUUCUUUGUAAAUAUAGGCACAUGACAAAUACAGAUUUCUAUUUUUAUAUUCUAACACAUUUGGAUAGUUAGUUAGAAAUAGACAAAUAAGAAUAGGACACCUGUACAGUACCUUAACAGAUUUUAUUUCUUUUAUUUGUAUAAAUACAUGUAAAGUUGAUUAAUGACAUACACAAAGAAAAUUUCUGCAUCUUCAUUCUUUCAUGGUAUCAGAGCAGAUUUCUGCUCGAUCCUUCAACCUUUUCGUCUAAACUUCCUCCUUCUUUCUCAACUUCAUCUAUCAUCACGACUGGAACAGAUUCUGCUCCCACUCUUUCUCUUUCUGGUUUAACUAGUCAAGCUGUCAAUCAUGAUGUCAACCACCCCUACUUUCUUCACUCUUCAGAUGCACCUGGAAUGACUCUUGUCACCUCACCCUUUGAUGGAAGAGGAUUCUCAGGGUGGAGAAGAUCGAUCCUAAUUGCAUUAUCAGCCAAAAACAAGCUGGUGUUCAUCAAUGGGGUUUGUGAUGAACCUGCCCUGGAUUCAAAGGAUCAUGCACAGUGGAGUAGAUACAAUGACAUGGUCACCUCGUGGCUCUUAAACUCUCUAACUAAAGAGAUAGAAGACAAUGUGAUUUAUUCCAAAUCUGCAAAGGAACUCUGGAACAGUCUUGAGCAUAGGUUUGGACAAUCCAAUGGAGACAAACUCUAUCACCUACAAAAGAAAAUUGCUAAAACAGUUUAGGGAAAUGGCAGUAUUGUAGGAUAUUUUACAACUCUAAAAAGGUUAUGGGAUGAGUUAGAUUCCCUGAACUCACAUCUAGGUUGCACAUGUACUUGUGUGUGUGAAGGGAAAAAAAAGGUGGCCAAGUUCCUAGAGGAUCAGAGAGUCAUACAAUUCUUGAUGGGCUUGAAUGAUGUGUAUGCACAUACAAGAGGAAACAUCCUCAUGAUGAGCCCACUUCCAAACAUGGACCAUGCCUAUUCUUUCCUUCUGCAAGAUGAAAGUCAGAGGGAAAUAUAUGUUAGCCCACAAUAUCCAUCAGAUGGUGCAUCCUUCAUGGUAGGAUCUCAAGGGAAGUUCAAUCAAAGGAAUAACAUUCAGAAAUCCUAGGGAACCUCUCAGAAACAGGGGAACAAUCAGAACAUACAACAAAAAAUCAGAAAGAAAACAAAGUACAAUCCAAACAUGAGUUGUAGUCAUUAUAUGAGAACAGGUCAUGUGAGAGCAGAUUGCUACAGACUAAUAGGGUUUUCUGAUGAUUUUCAAUUCACAAAAUCAACUAAUUAUCAGCCUACAAUAAAGGGAAAUGCAGUGGUGGCAAGGCAGGACAAUGAAGAGAAGUCCAACACUUGCAGUGAAGCAACCAUGAGCAAUCAAAACCAAUUCUUUAGUAAGGUGCAAGUGUCAGAAUUGGUAAACAUAAUCAAGCAAGUGCAGAUUGGGAGUGUAGGGACCACAAUAUCAGAAAUCAAUGCUAAUGUUGUAGCUGGUACCAUACUCAAAUACACAGGAACUUGUCUUGCUAUUUUUAACACUAAAACUUGGAUUAUUGACUCGGGGGUCUCUGAACACAUGUGUUUUGAUACUAGUUCUUUCUUAACUCUUACCCCUCUACCUGCACCUUUGCAUAUUAGUUUAACUAAUUCAUUUCAGUUAUGCGUUACACACAUAGGUAAUGUGUCUAUUCAGCCUGAUAUGAUUCUUGAUAGGGUACUUCAUGUCCCUUCUUUCAAAUAUAACUUACUAUUUGUUCAUAAGUUAUGUCUUUAAUUCAGUUGCUCCUUAAAUCUAACUUCUAGUGGAUGUCUAUUGCAGGUCCCUUUAAUGAGGAGGGGACAAGUUUUUGGUGAAGUUAGAGAUGGAUUGUACCUGUUCCAGCCACCUAGAAUAGAGUAUGUUUCUUCAUUUAGAAAAGAUGUAGUUUCCAUUCAAAAAGGAAGAAAUUUCAGUGUUAUUUCUACUUCUAUUUCUUUUCCAGUAUCUUUAGUUACUAUUGUUACAUCUAAUGUAAAACAAUGGUAUGUCAGGCUCGAGCAGACCAGACUGCCUUUUCCUUUAAGUCAUAUUAAGAGUUUUGCUAUCUUUGAUUUAAUUCAUAUUGACACUUGGAGGCCCUUCAAGACUGUAACUUACAAUGGCUACACAUAUUUCUUAACUAUUGUGGAUGACUAUAGUAGGGCAACUUGGACUUUUCUUUUAAGUUCUAAAGGAAAUGCUUUUUCAGUCUUGAAGUCAUUUCUAUCCAUGGUAGAUAGACAGUUUAACUUGAAAGUCAAGAAGAUCAGAUCUGACAAUGCCAUGGAACUAGGAAAAGGAUCACUAGAGGCAAUUUUUCUUGAAUCUCAAGGGAUUUUACAUGAAACUUCUUGUGUUGCUACCCCUCAACAGAAUGGAGUGGUUGAGAGGAAGCAUAGACACCUUUUGGAAGUAGCAAGAUCUCUCUUAUUUCAUUCUAAGGUGCCUCUCCAGUACUGGGGAGAGUGUGUUCUGACAGCUACAUAUCUAAUCAACAGAAUCCCCUCUAAGGUUCUGCAUGGUUUAACACCCUAUGAGAAGUUGCUUGGUAAACAGCCCAGCUAUGAUUCCCUCAAAAGUUUUGGUUGUUUAUGCUAUGUGUCAACUUUAUCUCACAACAGGGGAAAGUUUGAACCUAGGGCAAAGGGUUGUAUAUUCCUAUGCUAUGCUCAGAAUCAAAAAAGUUACAAAAUACUAGACCUUGACACUAAAAGGGUGUUUAUUUCUAGAGAUGUCAAGUUCCAUGAACAUCUAUUUCCUUUUACUCACUCACCUUCCUCACCUGUUUUUUCUUUCUUUCCAUUAGGUAAAACUCCUUCAGAUGCCUCACCUCAUACCUCAACAAAACAUACUCCUAGGACACCCUCCUCAUCAUCUCCCACAUUGCAUUCACCUCAAUUUAUCCUCUCCUCACCUAGCAGUUCUUCUCAGGUUCCUGCUCCUUCUACUCCAUCCAAUAUCACCCUCACCUCUUCAGAAUCCAAUCCUUCUUACUCACCCAUUCUGUCCAGAUCACUGUCUCACUCCCCUACCAGCACACCUAUUCCAAUUCCUCCUCCACCAGUCAGAAAAUAUGACAGAGUGACUCAAAAACCAGCCUACUUAAAUGACUACAUUUGCAACAUCAUUUACCUGUCUGACCUUAGUUCCUGUCUAUCUAAACCUCUCAAGCCAACUUCCUUCUCCUUUAAUGCCCUUUCUAUGAAGAAUCAGCAUCUACUUACCUCCAUCUCUUCCAUAUCAGAACCUAGAAGUUAUCUACAGGUUUCCACUCAUCCUGGGUGGAAGAAGGCCAUGGAUGCUGAAAUUUCAGCACUUGAACUAAAUCACACUUGGGAUAUCAGGGAAGAAAGCUUUAUCCUGUAAAUGGGUGUACAAGGUGAAGCACAACUCAGAUGGUACUAUUGAAAGGCUCAAAGCUCGUUUAGUGGUGAGGGGGGACAUUCAGAGAGAAGGGAUCGAUUAUUCAGAAACAUUUUCACAUUUGGUAAAAAUGACUACCAUCAAGUGUCUUUUGGCUGUGGCUAUCAAAAAGGGGUGGCAUGUCUCACAGUUAGAUGUCAAUAAUGCCUUUUUGCAUGGGGAUUUGCAAGAAGAAGUCUAUAUGAAAUUCCCAACAGGUUUGACUCCUCCUCAAUCUCAUCAUGUUUGUCGCUUAAGGAAAUCACUCUAUGGCCUAAAGCAAGCGUCAAGGCAAUGGUAUGCUAGGCUAGUUGGGGCUCUGAACUACAAAGGUUACUCCAGCUCUCUCAAUGAUUAUUCUUUAUUCUACAAGCAAUCAGGUCCCCUAUUUUCUAUCUUGGUUGUCUAUGUGGACGACAUACUACUCACAGGAAAUGACACCACAGAAAUUGCACAUAUUACAGCUUUUCUAACACACAGAAUUCAAAGUAAAGCAUCUUGGAGACAUUCAUCAUUUUUUGGGUAUGGAAAUUCUCAGAGAAAAAUAGGGUUUCAUCAUAGGGAAAAGGCAAUUUACCUUGGAUCUCUUGGUAGAAUUUGAUUGCACAGGUCCUGAUGUUUCUUCCCUCUCGAUCCUUGCUCCAAAUUGCAAGCUGAUGUAGGAGAGCCUUUGUCUGAUCCUACUAUUUAUCGCCACUUUGUUGGGAAGCUCAACUAUUUAACAAAUACCAGGCCAGACCUUUGUUUUGUUGUUCUUUGCUUGAGCCAGUACAUGCAACGCCCUUGCAUUUCUCAUUACUCUGUAGCUUUGCGUGUUCUCCACUAUUUGUGCUCUGAUCCUUCUCAAAGGAUCUUUCUCACUGCAGAUCCCUCCUUUGAUUUACUCGCUUUUUGUGAUGCAGACUGGGCAGCAUGUCGAGAUUCUCGCCGCUCUGUAAGUGGCUUUUUCAUCACCCUUGGUGGAGCUCCAAUUUCAUGGAAAUCCAACAAGCAGAUUUCCAUUUCCCUCUCCUCUGCUGAAGCUGAAUACCGCUCCAUGAGGCGUGUCACUGCUGAAGUCACUUGGUUGGUACGACUUCUCUCUGAUCUCUCUGUAGCUCCGACUUUGUCGAUCCCUAUUCACUCCGAUAGUCAGGCAGCGAUUCGCAUCGCCUGUAACCCCGUUUUCCAUGAGCGUACCAAGCACGUCGAGCUUGAUUGCCAUUUUGUCAGGCAACAAUUUAUCUCCGGCUUAAUCAACAUCUCAUUUGUUCCAUCGGAGCACCAACUGGCCAAUCUCUUCACCAAACCUCUUUCUGGGGUUUAUCACAUAACCAUUUUGGGCAAGUUGGGGGUCCUUUCCCUCCCCUCCAACUUGAGGGGGGUUGAUGAGAAGAAGAAACCCCAU
rnacentral:lncRNA from 1 species